CAGCACUGAGGAAAAUCUUUGUGCUUGAGAUGGGUUCUCCCAUCGCUGACGGCAACACAACCCUCUAAGAAGUUCUGAGCUG